AUAAAUCUUCAGCAAAUAAAUGGAUAACAAGAACAGCUAACCUACAAAAUUAUUAAUACUAAAUCUGGUUGAUGCAAGUGUAGAAGGCUUGAGGAAAAUCAUAAAAAGGUUAAGGUUGCAUCUUUUGUUAACAGGAUUAGAAAUGCAGAAAAAACAAAGGAACGAAAAAAAAGGGAAGGGAAGUCAAGCUCACAGGAAAAACUCACCAAGUCCUUGAGGGAAGCAAUUGA
rnacentral:misc_RNA from 1 species